rnacentral:rRNA from 1 species
AGAGUUUGAUCAUGGCUCAGGAUCAACGCUGGCGGCGUGCCUAAUGCAUGCAAGUCGCACGGACAGUCUUCGGACUGCCAGUGGCGAACGGCUGAGGAACACGUGCGUAUCUGCCUUCUCGUGGGGAAUAACGGGUGGAAACACCCGCUAAUACCGCGUACGCUCACGUUUGUGAGGAAAGCACUUCGGUGCGCGGGGAGAGGAGCGCGCGGCCCAUCAGGUUGAUGGCGGGGUAAUGGCCCACCAUGCCGGUGACGGGUCGCUGGUCUGUGAGGAUGGCCAGCCAGACUGGGACUGCGACACGGCCCAGACACCUACGGGUGGCAGCAGCAAGGAAUCUUCGGCAAUGGGCGCAAGCCUGACCGAGCAACGCCGCGUGGAGGACGACGGCCUUCGGGUUGUAAACUCCUUUUGGGAGGGAUGAACACGGACAGUACCUCCUGAAUAAGCCCCGGCUAACUCUGUGCCAGCAGCCGCGGUAAUACAGAGGGGGCAAGCGUUGUCCGGACUUACUGGGCGUACAGCGCGCGCAGGUGGUCGGCUAAGUUCGUGGUGACAGCGUGCGGCUCAACCGCACACGGUCCAGGGAGACUGGUCGACUAGAGGCAUCGAGAGGGAAACGGAGUACCCGGUGGAGCGGUGAAAUGCGUAGAGAUCGGGUGGAACACCAGUGGCGAAGGCGGUUUCCUGGCGAUGACCUGACACUGAGGCGCGACAGCGUGGGGAGCAAACGGGAUUAGAUACCCCCGUAGUCC